UUUUUUUGUAUCUCAUUUCAGUCCAUCAAGAGGGAUUUAUAUAGGGAAAUAACAAAGCAUUUAGGGGGGAAAACAAUAGAGUUUUUGAACUAUUUUGACAAACUGUUUUCAUGUUUUGUUCACACAAUUUUCUUUAACCAAUUUUAUGUAAUUUUGUGGAUGUUUCAAUGUAGGUUGGAGCAGACUGUUCAUAGCAGACUUUUGGCAGCAUGUGGACUGAUUUGCUGUAUUUUUAUAAAAGUUUUGGGACUUUUAUGGUUGCUGUUUUUUUUACUGUUUUGUAGGAUGUUACAGUAUUUUUGGGGCUGUUUUGCUGCAUUUUUUGGGCAGCAAAAUACAACAAAGUUGGGCUUUUAUUGCAUUGCAACAGGGCUGGAAAAUGGGGGUUGCAUUAGCAACUUGUCGAGCAGAAUUUUUAGAAUAUUAGGAAUAAUAGUUUUGUACCAACUUGUAAUUCUUUUUUGUAAUUUUGUAAUAAUAACUCCAAUAAAUUUGUAA